GCUGGCGUGUCCGAGCGGUCUAAGGAGCCAGAUUUAAGUCCUGGUAGUGAAAACUGCGUGGGUUCGAAUCCCACCGCCAGCA
rnacentral:tRNA from 1 species